UUGAGGCGUUCGUCACGUUAGAUUGAAUUUUAUGGUUCCUAAAAACAUGAAUUUUAUGAGGGGUGGAAUUCUUUCUCCGAUAAUGAAGACAUGAUUCCAUUGAAGUUCUAUUCUUUUUGUGCAUUUGGGUAAUUGCUUUCACUUAGUAUUUGGUUGAUUACUACUCCUAUAGUCCUUCUGGAGAUUUGCUAAUGGCUUCUGGCUUGGCAGUGUAAGGACACAUGAUGAGAAAAACAAUAUCGUUGUUAGAGUACGUAAUGGCCUAAUGGGCCUGGGCUUGCGGUAUAGCUGUUAGUCUUAGGGUUAAUUAGAGAUAAGGGUCGCUUGCUUGGGGUCAAGUAAACCUCUCUAUAUAAGGAGAGGAGAUGUAACAAUCUAAUCAAGCAAGAAGCAAUCAUAUUUGCUCGGCUUGCUUAGGGAGCCGGGAGACCUAACCCUAGCCUCCUCCCCUGCGACAUCUCCCUCUCAGCCGCCGCCUUCUCCCGCGCAACUACGGCACCGACGCGUCGCCGCCGGCGCCCAUCUCCUCGCCAACCAGCCUCCCACCCCUACAACCUACGGUUCAGGCCAGGUAGGACCCAAGCUCCUACCAGUUUGGUAUCAGAGCCUUCCCGGGUUCGAUCAUGUCCAGCCCUCCACCGAGUUCUUCCCACCCGCCGCCGCCACCAGCGUCUUCAUCGGCGCUGCUACCCCACACAACAGGCGCGCCAGCAGUGGGUGUGCUGGCGUCCUCAGGGGCGAUUGCACCCUCUGCCCCGGCGCCGUCCGCCCUCGUGCUCACCCCGGAGCAGAUGACAGCCGCAAUCCUGGAAUUACGGCAGGCCGUGGCGGGCAUCAGGGCCUUCUUCGUCGGGCCCUAUGCGCCCCAGCUGCAUCCCCAGCAGCCACCUCCUCCGCCGCCACACCAACAGCGGCUACCCUCGCCGGCGCCGGCGCCGGUCAUCUCGUACCAGUAUGGGAUGCCCUACGACGGGACUGCGACAACCUCGUUCCCAUCAGCGCCGCCGCCGUCCCAGGGCGUCCCCAUCCAGCAGAUCAAGUUUCCGCCGUCGCCGUCACCGCUUCCAACUUGGAUCGCUACCCGUCACGUGUCGGCGGCGGUGAGGCUGCAGGCUGUAGCGCGCAGCCUCCUAGCGUGUCGGCGUGUGCGGGAGAUGCGUGGUCUGCAGCUGCAGCUCCUCCAAGUUGCGCUUCGCUGCGCAAAGGACCUCGAUCUCGUCCGCUGCGUCAGGGAUCUUGGGCAUGUGGUUUCCCCCACGGGCGGGGGGCAUGCUGUUUUCCCCGCGGGCAGCGACCUCAACGUCUGUGACAUCGGCGGUUGGGGAGGCGCACCCCUCCUCAUCAUUCUCCAUCGAAAGCCCUCCACUCUUCUUUGUGCGGUGCAGACCAACAGUCGUCCGGCGGGGAGAAGGCAUGGUGUCACCGACAGGAGUGCACCGCGUAGCACCACUGCAUUCCGCCGCCGGCCGCCGCGAGGGCGCCUCUGCUGGUCGCUCUUGCGACCACUUCCAUGUGACCAUACACAUGCACUCCUUUUGUCCAGAUGGUGUCCAUGGGAUCCAGGUGGCUGUACACAUGCACGUCCGGCGUGCGGAUGGUGUCCACUUUAUGUUCAGGGGUCCAAAAUAAAGCGUCCCAGUCCAUUUCAGGUUGAGAGUAAUAAAACAAGCCGAGAUGUAAAAGGCUUGUUUUUAGGUGUUAGGUUUGUGUUGCGUCGAGUCAUGGUUAUCAGUUGGUUAGGUUGCAGCUUGAGGACAAGCUGCAUGUCCAGGUGGGGUGUAGUGUUAGAGUAUGUAAUGGCCUAAUGGGCCUGGGCUGGCGGUAUAACCCGUUAGUCUUAGGGUUAAAUAGAGAUAAGGGUCGCUUGCUUGGGAGUCAAGUAAACCUCUCUAUAUAAGGAGAGGAGAUGUAUCAAUCUAAUCAAGCAAGAAGCAAUCAUAUUUGCUCGGCUUCCUUAGGGAGCCGGGUGACCUAACCCUAGCCUCCUCCCCUGCGCCAUCUCCCUCUCAGCCGCCGCCUUCUCCCGUGCAACUACGGCGCCGACGUGCCGCCGCCGGCACCCAUCUCCUCGCCAACCAGCCUCCCACCCCUACAACCUACGGUUCAGGCCAGGUAGGACCCAAGCUCCUACCAAUCGUGGUUGUUAACUUAGAUUAUCGGGAAUGUUAAAAAUCUGACGUCAGAUUUAUAAGCAUGGCAAAUCCAACGUUUUUCAAGGCAAAUUAUGUUGUCGCGAGGUUGACAAUUUCUUGUAGCAAGUAUGUCAAAUCCUGGCAAAAAACUGAACAUUGCAAGGAUUUGCCAUGCUUGCUAAGCGAAAUUGCCAUCCUUGCGACAACAUGUUCGAUUUGCUAUGCUAGAAAUCUGACGUUUGAUUUAUAGCGAAAUCCUAGGUUAUUUUGUAUUUGUUGCAUUAGCACAGAUCAGUAGCUUGUGCUGGUGUGAAGCAAUAAUUCAUGUGUCGAAUGUUCUUAGUUAGUUGGAAUUUGCUCUUUUGAUUGAGUUAGACCUGUGAAUGUUUUGAUGUGUUCUCUUUUCUGGUUUGCGAUUCUGAUCUGGUGCCUUCAACUGGAUCAAAGGCGCAACAAUACUAAUUUGUGAUAGAUCAUUGACAUGACUUAGAUAUUCCCUGAGUGGAAUAUACAGUCUCUUUUAUUUGCCAAAUGUAGUGGCCAGCAUAUUUUAAACUACGGUACUUUGUACAAAAAUGACGGCACAAGAUAUAAAAUAAAGAACUUUAGGUCUCUUCAUAGGAAUAUUGCUAAAGUUGUGGGAUUUUCAUAGGACUAUUGCAGGAUUUCAAUGCUUAGGAAUUUCUUCAAUAACGGCCAUCUGGAUCAUAGGAUUGAGGUUCUAAAAAUUCGAUGGAAUGCAAUCUAAUCCCCCCCUUCCAUAUGAAUCUUAACAUGAGCUCAAAUGUCAUUUUGUUUUCCUUUCAGAAGUCCAAUGCUCUCUCGCUUCAUUCCUCCAAAAUUCUCAUGUUACUUUCCUUUACACCAUCCAAAGGGCAUUACGUGCAAAAUUCCUGUGUCCCUGGGAUCUUGUAGAAUUCCAUAACACAUGACAUCUUAAUCCUGUGUUUCUCCUAUUCCUACGUUUUCUAAUUCCAAAUAGGCCUUCUAAGACUAUUAGUUAGUUCGAUUCAAAAGAUGAUUAGCAAAUGAAUGACAGAAGUGGAAGCAAAUUAUAGGAAAUAAUUUCUGACAAGUGACACAGUUAACGAUAUUUGGAAAUGAAACAGUUGAUAGCGACGCUGCAGAGCUGGUCAAAUGUGUGUCACUCCAUGACCCAUGCUCUCAGCGUAACUACUCUACUACCUCUCUCAUAUAACGGGAGAGAAAAUGUGAGGCUGGGUAGCCUCAUUAACUAACAAAAUGAAAAUAUGACAAGGUUAAGGAAAAAAAUAAGUAAAAGCAUUGAACGGUUCCUGGUAAUCAUGGAGUGAACAUGGCUAUGGUACAACUAUUAAGGGAAUAUAUACGAUAACGUGAAAUAAAAGUUUAUUGUUGUAAUAAACUAAUAGCACAGAUGGAAACCAUAAGGUUAUUUUCGUUCUGUUAUUGUUGGGUAUGCUUUCUAAGAUUUUCCAGUCCCGCACUUUCUCCUCAAUCCUCGUUUAAAGGACACUAAGAGUAGUUCCACUUUAGAGCACUUGCCAUGGGUACUCACACAUGCUUUACUAGCACCGUGGUGUUGCCAUCUCUUGUUUCGUUUGUGAAUAUUCAUUGGUCGAACAAUUGGACCGGUCAUGUCUGCGAAACCAUUUCAUUUAAUUUUCGUCUAUUGCAAUGGCGCCCACGUAGUACCACAUCUAUUUGUUAAUGGGCUGGGUGCUACAGAUGUUACCAAACAUCAACCCUAGGUACACAGACUCUGCACGUGUGCCCUUGUAGGGGCUCAUCGCACGAGGCAUGUACUGAGGAGCAUUUCGGGGCAGAAUGUUGCCAAGGUCGUCAUCCCUUUAGUAGUGUGUGUAGGGGGGAGGGGGGUUGGGGUUACGCCCAACCCUUAGUGAAGCAGUGCCAAUUUACCUCGAGUUAGAUUAGCAAAUAAUACAUUGGCCCGAAUAUUAGCACUUCUGGGUUAAUGCUUCGGAAAUGAAGCUAGGGUUAAAACUCAAAACAAGCGCUACACAUGGGUGCCUGCCCCAGAGUGGAUUGAGGCCUUAGUGAAUUUGGCCCAUAGGACAUUUUUACACUAAAUCUCGUUGUAAAAAAAUGAAGGUGCUUGCUGUCCAAUGCCCACCUUUUUCGCUUAAGUGAAUUUGUGUUGUGUGCUUGUCUUGCUGAACAGCUGAAAUUACUACUAAAAUUAGUAUUUAUUUUAUGUUCGAAUUUUUUGAUCGGAAUGAACCUUACAUUGAUGCUCAUUUACAUUGCUCCUUGUUACUUAAACACCUAAUGGUUCAGCAAGGGCAAUCAAAUUGCCAUCCACGACUUCAUGGUUCCUUUUGUCAAUCUGUUAUGGACAUCGCUUUUUUUUUCUCGAAUGCGCAGGAGAGCUGUGCGUGAUUUAUAUUAAGAAGACAACCCUGCUACAUAAGCCCUCGCCGAACAAAACUAGACUACAACCAUCGACCAAAUAAACACUCACGGUCAUAUGCUACUAAGGCCUUUGGCCCCCGCCAUAGCAUCUCUAACGUCUUGCAUGAGAAUGUGUGUGUUGGUGUUGAUUUUGAACAAAAAAAGAAACAGUUUCAGCCUGACAUCUUUAUUCACUGGUUAGAUUUUACAGUGUGUUGCUGCGUGUUAGUGCUUAUUUAGCUUUCCAUGGCCUGGAGGUGCCAAAGGCCUAUUUUUGUUUGACCCACUGAUUACUUGGUCUGACCCACAGCAAGAGCUAAAUGCCAUCCUGGGCUUGGUUUGUGGUCAGCCCAGACCCUCUGACAUAACAAGUUUUUGAAGUGGAAUCUGAGGAAAGUGGAAGCUUAACUCAGUGUGAAUUUUUAUUUCCACACGGCCCUUUGUACCGACUUAUGCAUACGGUGUUUUACAAUAUUUACUUUGGCCCUAAACCAUUCAGCCGGCUCUGAUUUUUGCUAAUUAGAGGUUGUGGGCAAGUGGAAGGAGCAUCCAAAUAUCUAAUCUGUUUCACAGAACUCCAUAGAGGCAAAAGAGCUAAGGCUUGCUGCUGUAAGAAGAACCAAUGUCUCAUCAAUAAGGGUUCGAUACUAAUCUGGCCAUGGAGAGGACAGCUCACUAUCAUGUGAAGGCUGCAAAAGGCGCAGGUGUGCCUGUUAUCUUGGAUGCAGGUGGAAUGGAUGCUCCUGUCCCCAGAGAACUACUCGAACUGGUGGAUAUUUUUAGUCCAAAUGAGACAGAGCUAGCACGUUUGACUGGGAUGCCUACAGAGACUUUUGAACAAAUCAGCCAGGCUGCAGGAGCAUGCCAUAAAAUGGGUGUGAAAGAAGUUUUGGUUAAACUUGGAUCACAAGGAUCUGCUCUGUUUGUCGAGGGAGAGGAACCAAUUAGGCAGGCGAUAAUACCUGCCGCAGAAGU